rnacentral:lncRNA from 1 species
AGGUCCCCACAUAUACAAGACCAAGCUCACGACGUUGACAACAUGUUAGAUCUCAAACCGUGAGAUCCACCAUCAGCAAAUCAGAUUCUUAUAAAUAACACCAAAUAAAAACCAACACCUAUUUAUGAACCAAAGUAAACACUCAAUCCGAUACAGGUGCACGUAAAGGAUAGAUUUCUAAAGUCAUCCAAAGAAGGUACAAGAGUUCACCCCUUAUUUAUCCAGAAACCAUUUCCGAGUAAAAAUAACUCUUCUACUCCACUUUUUUCGUUGUUUUUCUAACUUUGUUAAAGAUAACAUCAUUAUUAGCUUUUCAAAUGGACUAGACUACAACAUGCCAAGCCAAUCGAUAACCACUCUUAUAUUUACACAUAUCCCCUAAAGAAUAAAAGGAAUCAAAAAGUAAUCAUGGAUCAUUAGGACCCCAACAGCUUAAAGAUUAUAUACCACAUUGACAAGACAAACUCACAAGUAACAAAGAGAUGGACGACUGUCUCAACCAAAUUUCCACAAAAGGACAAGCAAGCAUACUAGGAUAUGGACUCACCUUUCUCUUAAAGAAGUUUUCUCUAGCCGAGAGUCAAUCUUGCAAAAACUUCUAAGAGAAUAUCAAGAUCUUAGGAGUCCAACUAAACCAGAAAAGGGAAAUUAUCAGACUCUCCUUUGAAAGAGAAGCAGAAGAAGAGAUCAAACCAACCCUCUGAACAAGCGGAGGCCACUGAGAAAGUAUCAUCUCUACCGUACUUUCAAAUCCACUUAUCUCUAACUAGGGAGAGGGUGAUA